CCUACGGGGGGCUGCAGUGGGGAAUUUUCCGCAAUGAGCGAACGCCUGACGGAGCAAUACCGCGUGAGGGAGGAAGGCUCUUGGGUUGUAAACCUCUUUUCUCAGGGAAUAAGCAAGUGAAGGUACCUGAGGAAUCAGCAUCGGCUAACUCCGUGCCAGCAGCCGCGGUAAUACGGAGGAUGCAAGCGUUAUCCGGAAUGAUUGGGCGUAAAGCGUCCGCAGGUGGUUAUGUAAGUCUGCUGUCAAAGCGCAGGGCUCAACUCUGUAAAGGCAGUGGAAACUACAAGACUAGAGUGCGUUCGGGGCAGAGGGAAUUCCUGGUGUAGCGGUGAAAUGCGUAGAGAUCAGGAAGAACACCGGUGGCGAAAGCGCUCUGCUAGGCCGCAACUGACACUGAGGGACGAAAGCUAGGGGAGCGAAUGGGAUUAGAUACCCCAGUAGUC
rnacentral:rRNA from 1 species